rnacentral:rRNA from 1 species
UGGGGAAUUUUGGACAAUGGGCGAAAGCCUGAUCCAGCCAUGCCGCGUGAGUGAAGAAGGCCUUCGGGUUGUAAAGCUCUUUUAGUCAGAAAGAAAGAAUCAUGAUGAAUAAUUAUGAUUUAUGACGGUACUGACAGAAAAAGC